AUUGAACGCUGGCGGCAUGCCUUACACAUGCAAGUCGAACGGUAACAGGUUACGCUGACGAGUGGCGAACGGGUGAGUAAUGUAUCGGAACGUGCCCAGUCGUGGGGGAUAACUGCUCGAAAGAGCAGCUAAUACCGCAUACGACCUGAGGGUGAAAGCGGGGGAUCGCAAGACCUCGCGCGAUUGGAGCGGCCGAUAUCAGGUUAGGUAGUUGGUGAGGUAAAGGCUCACCAAGCCGACGAUCUGUAGCUGGUCUGAGAGGACGACCAGCCACACUGGGACUGAGACACGGCCCAGACUCCUACGGGAGGCAGCAGUGGGGAAUUUUGGACAAUGUGCGCAAGCCUGAUUCAGCCAUGCCGCGUGCGGGAAGAAGGCCUUCGGGUUGUAAACCGCUUUUGUCAGGGAAGAAAAGGUUCUGGCUAAUACCUGGGACUCAUGACGGUACCUGAAGAAUAAGCACCGGCUAACUACGUGCCAGCCGCCGCCGUAAAAC
rnacentral:rRNA from 1 species